CCUUCGGGUUGUAAAGCUCUUUUGUCAGGAACGAAACGGUCCGAUCUAAUACAUUGGGCUAAUGACGGUACCUGAAGAAUAAGCACCGGCUAACUACGUGC
rnacentral:rRNA from 1 species